rnacentral:sRNA from 1 species
AACCCCAGGCAUCAGGCAUCAGCAUCAGCAUCAGCAACACCAACGCUUCAAGUUGAGAACACAGCGGAACGGUGGCUGGCCGCUUGAUAUCGAGAGAUCAGAUAUCUGAGUCAUUGGGGUGUCCAGUCUAAGAUGCAGCGCGGCGUUACGCCAAGUAAAAGAGUCACAAAAACAUGAUUUCCGCGCGAUCAACCAACCAACCCAGCUCAACCCCCACUCACUAAUUAUUCUUCGCUUUAUUCUCUUUCGCCCUCCUUUACCAGCUCUAGCAACCUCACCGUUUUCUGACUGUCCAAAAACUCCACAGUCUUCACAAGCUUUUCCCCCGUCUCGUCCAUCCACAACAGAAACACCAAUUCCCCUUCUAAUGCCCACUCCGCCUCAGAUAGCCCCUCAACCUUCAACUCCUCACGGAAUAUCGCCCGGCUUGUCGCCCACACAGUGACUUGAUCACUGCUCUCACUCUCAACGUACUCUUUGGCUGUUACUGGGAGACCGCUCAUGAUGGCACGGAUGCCGGAAAUGUGUUGGAUUAACCCCUUUUUGUCGAAUGGGCCCGGUGGAUUCAUUGACGCUGGCGCGAACUGAUAUACGAAGUUCUCUGCCAGGAUGGCUUCCAGCGUUUCUGUGGAAAUCGUGCUGAAGUUGGCGAUGAAUUUUUGUUGGCCGUUUCGAGACGCUUGGAUGGGGAUGCCAUGGCUGCGCCUGCUGUUGGUCGUGAUGCUGUUGAUCUGGGGUAGAGGAGAGGGUGACGUGAGGUCCCGUAGGUAACUAUGUAUUGGCUUGGUAAAUGUUUAAGAAGAAGACUAUUAUCUCAAAUAUCUUCUCCCGAAUGACCUUUUAUACGAUGUCCCAGAGGCGGGGUAAUCUGAUACAUGCCAUAGUUUGCACAGGAUUUCAUGGCUGGGAUCUUCAUUCUUGUCCCCUUCUCUGACAAGGGUUCUUAGUCUACUCUGCGGGUUCACCAAGGCGUAAGCAACCUGAGAUUCGGAAGUCGUCAACAUCUGGAUCAUUAAUACUCGGAAAUAUUCCAGUAGACUGCAGCAAGAGAGGCCAGGUCGACCUUUUAUGUGGUAAGGUGAGAUAAUUCUUGGGUUGUUUCUCUUGACGGCCGAAGUCAUUCAUAUUGGAAAGUGUAAGUUCUAAUUCCGAUUACGAUUUAUGGGUAUAUACAUAAAAAGAUCAACUUCCCAGAUAGCCAGCCAAUAAGCUCAAUAAAUCUCACACCAAUAACCCUGAUCACUUACUCCCCCAUGGUAUAUAUAUAAAUAGGAGAAAAUAGAAAAAAAGAAAAAAAAGUAAUAGUGAAAGGCUAGUCCCGUACUCCUUCCCGUACAAAUUUUUUCAAUACCUGUAGAUUAAUGGAAUUUAAUAAAAUACCUUCUCCUGCCAUAUGGGAGGCUGACUCUUCACCUCAUCCCACUUUACCUUAUUUCUCUCGUCCAAAUGAGCCUCCUCAUCCGUCAUCGGCGUCACACGGCUCGUCAACUCCACUUCGCGACGGCUAAUCCCUCCCGCAUCGCGCGGUACCCACAGCAGCGGCGUCGGACUCCACACUGAGGGCGGGUAAUAUGCAUUGUCCGCCACUUCGUCUGAGUACUCGAUUGGCGUGCCCUGCCGGAUCCGUUUACGUAGCGUGGAGUAAUCGAUGUAGAUAUGUGGCUGUACUAUGGAGUGAAUGAAGUAGGAGAAUUUGCGCAGAAUUGUUUGGAGAGCACUGGGUUUUCGAUGUGGGAAGGCCGGAAUUUCGGUCGACGUGCCUGCUCGCGUGAUUUCAGCUAGUGUUAUCGUUGUCUGGGUUGCGCGCUUGAGUUUGGAGGAGGUGGAGAUUGGGCUGGGAAUUUCGUUGCUGCCGCUUGCUGGGCUGAUGGGUGAUUUCUCGCUUGUUGCAUCGUCUUGGUAGCUGCUUGCGCUGUCGUCCUGCUCACCCAUGUCUUUGUUGCUGUCGUCAUCAUCACCAUCGCCCAGCCUUUCAGCUUGUUCGAGCGUCCGGGGAAGUGCAGACAGGAGUGGGCGCAGUGCGUCGUUCAAGGAUAUAUGCGCUAGAAUCAUCAAUAUGAUGAAGAGGACCAUCAUGAUCACCGGUCCUAUGGCACCCUUAAUGGCGAAUAAGCCAAUCAUACAGACGGAGGAGAGGUAUACGCCUGUCAACACUUGUUGCAGUGCACGCGGGU